rnacentral:tmRNA from 1 species
ACGGGGGCGGUACCCGGCGCCUCCACCAAAAUAUAAUUUGUUUUUUUAUAUUUUAGUGGGGGCGAAACAGGAUCGACAAAAGUGUAAAGAUUGCUCUUUUACUCGGUAUAGUACCACCGUUAUCGGACUAAAUGAGUAGUUGCAAAUGACAACUAUGCGGAAGCACGUCUCGCUGCCUGAGGUGGUGUGAAUGCUUCAAACUAAGUCUUAAACCGUCGCAGGUUUAAGCGGGGUUCGAAGGCACCUGGAGACAGAAGCACA